GACGAACGCUGGCGGCGUGCCUAACACAUGCAAGUCGAACGCAGUUGCGAACGGGUGAGUAAAGCGUAUGUAACUGCCUCCUAGCGGGGGCUACCUAUUGGCACCGAUAGCUCAUACACCAUACUGUGAGAUGGACCUGCGUGUUAGUAGUUAGUUUGUGCGGUAAAGGCCCACCAAGGCGACGAUACAUAGCCGACCUGAGAGGGUGAUCGGCCACACUGGGGCUGAGACAAGGCUCAGACUCCUACGGUAGGGAGCAGGAGGGAAACUUCGGAAAGGGAGCGAAGUCUGGCGGAGCAACGCCGCGUGAGUGAAGAAGGGUUUCGGAUCGGAAAGCUCUGUUGUUAGAGAAGCGGUACCUAACGAAGAAGGGACGGCUAACGACGUGCCAGCAGCCGCGGUAAUAC
rnacentral:rRNA from 1 species